UUUUUUAAUUGGGGUAGCCCCCAAAAUAUUGGGACAUAUAAAAAAGAAACAUUUGCGGCCUGCGGUGCAUUUCUUACAGUCCUGAUGCAUGGAGAAAUGCUCAACUCCUGAUGCAUGGAGAAAAGGCCUUCACAAGCCUCUGCUAAUGGGUACAUAGUUUCUGGGUAUAUACUGUGGCAUUACAAGGGACUGGCUCAACUCCCAUCAAGCCAAGUUCCUGGAGGAGAUCACCCAGCUCGUCAUGCUAGAGCACUUUUUCAAUGUGCUCCCCAACGAGAGGGCGACGACGCAUUCGUAUGUCAAUCCAUAUCAACUUUAGAUUCCAUUGACUGCGCCUACCAUGGUGACCACUGGUAACGGGAAAACAGGGUUCGAUUCUGUACAGGGACCCUGACAAACGGCUACCACAUGCAAGGAAGACAGCAGGAGCCACUCCCAAUGCGGAAAGGUAGUGACGACAAAUAACAAUACAGGACUCUUUAGAGGCCCUGUAAUUGUAAUUAGUCCACUGGAAAUCCUUUAACUCUGAUCAAUUGGAAGGAAGUCUGGUGCAGAGCCACUGACCCGUGUGUGCUGCAGCUGAAACUCCACUA